AUGGCACCAGGCUCUGCAUCAGCACUAGGCCACAGUUCACAAGUGAUGCUUCCCGCUUUGCUCCUGUUUGUUCUGUGUCAGUGUGAAGUGUCACAGACAGAAGAAAGUCAAGCUGGUGCUGGUGACACGUGCAAGGGCUGGUUGGGGACAUCCCCUGUCCAGAUGGAGCCAGGCUCUUUAUCUAAGGACAGAAAGGAGUGGUUUCCCAGGCCCUGGUCAGCUCAGGAAAGGAAGUCUGACACCAAGGGACCCUGGCACCUGCUGCCCUCUUUGCUUGAGAAAGUGACCGUCUACCUUGACUUCAACAAGCUCUUGAGAGGGGAAGAGCCAUGGCAAGGGAGAAAUAAAGUACAUGAACUAGGGAUUUUAAGAAUUCACUCAACUGGAUUCAACACCCCCCCUUCCAUCUUUUGUCAGCUGAUGUAAAAUCAGAAACAUCUCUACUGAAGCAUAUGUGCACACAUACUCCUAAGAAGGAAUCAUUAUUCAUCCCUCUCCAUAGUGUGCAUGUUGCCAGAUUUUAUACAGACAGAGAUUGCAUUCAAG
rnacentral:lncRNA from 1 species